GUUCCUGUAGUUAAGAUUUAGUAACGACGGCUUUUCAGGUCGUAGGCCUUGGAGAGAUCCCAAGCAGGAAUU
rnacentral:tRNA from 1 species